UACGUAGGGCGCAAGCGUUGUCCGGAAUUAUUGGGCGUAAAGAGCUCGUAGGCGGCUUGUCACGUCGGAUGUGAAAGCCCGGGGCUUAACCCCGGGUCUGCAUUCGAUACGGGCUAGCUAGAGUGUGGUAGGGGAGAUCGGAAUUCCUGGUGUAGCGGUGAAAUGCGCAGAUAUCAGGAGGAACACCGGUGGCGAAGGCGGAUCUCUGGGCCAUUACUGACGCUGAGACGCGAAAGCGUGGGGAGCGAACAGG
rnacentral:rRNA from 1 species